rnacentral:rRNA from 1 species
GACGAACGCUGACGGUGUGCUUUAGACAUGCAAGUCGAACGAGAAAGCCCUUCGGGGUGAGUACAGUGGCGAACGGGUGAGUAACACGUGGGCAACCUGCCCCUCGCAGGGGGACAACCGGAGGAAACUCCGGCUAAUACCCCGUAAGCUUGUUGGGUCGCAUGACCCUUCAAGGAAAGGUAGCUUCGGCCAUCCGGCGAGGGAUGGGCCCGCGGUACAUUAGCUAGUUGGGUGGGGUAACGGCCCACCAAGGCGACGANGUAUAGCUGGUCUGAGAGGAUGAUCAGCCACACUGGGACUGAGACACGGCCCAGACUCCUACGGGAGGCAGCAGUCGGGAAUCUUGCGCAAUGGGCGAAAG